rnacentral:lncRNA from 1 species
AUGCAGAAGGAGUCGAAGACGGAGAAGGACGUGAGCGAUACGUCCAUCUCGAUCGACGAGAAGACGGAGACGCAUACGAAUGAGUACAACCUGAUCGAGAACGAGGACUCUUCCGAGUCAGUAACGCACUCUCUCGGCACCAAGUUGAACUUCAGCGAGGUGCUCAACCCGGAGAAGGAGGUGACCGAGGCCGUGAACCAGAGGCUGUCCUCGCUCGUGCGGGGGAUCUCCGAGGACGAGAUGCCGACCACCGUCCUCGAGUUGACCAAAGACUACGUCAACGGGGUUGACGUCUGGCGGGAAGACAAUAAUUUAACCAAGGAUCUAGGCAACGAAUAUAUUGAGCGCGUCAAGUUAAAAGCGGAAGACCUCGUAAACGAAAUCUGCGCCAAGGCCGAGACGGUCAACCAGAACGGACUCGCCAAGGACAUUGUAACUAGUGUAAAUUUCGCCAAAGCCAAUAGUGUAGACUCCUAUCGCCCACCGCUGGCCGAGACCAAACUCAAGACGUCGAUGACGUCAUCCUUCGAGGACGCACUUCUCAACGUCAACUUCGGCGAGGGAGCGGAAGCCCCCACCUUCUGUCCUCGUCUCAGCACGAUAGGCUCUGAACUAGAACUUAAGGUGGCAGAGGAGCUCUCGCCGGUGGACAAGAGCGGCUCGAGUUUCUCGGACGGGGACCUGAGUCCGGACCCGAAGGGGCUCUCGGACAGUGUGAUAGAGACGAUCAAGGCGGAGAUCGCGGAGAUCUGCGAGGAGGCGGCCGACCGGGCAGCCCAGCUGCUCGCCGAGAAGGCCGCCGAGGAGGCCGAGUCCGACUCGAACGAGAUCUCCGAAAACGGGACCUCGACCAACAACCCGAGCAUAUCCUUCUCCGACGACACCCAGAUCAUCGAGUCCAGCAUCCACGCCCCGCUCGACGAGAAGCUCGCCUCCGCCGCCACCACCAUCCAGGCCUCGUUUCGGGGCUACCAAGUCCGCAAGGCUCACAAAAAGCAGGUGAGUCCCAAGUUCUGUCCAUUUUACACAUGGAGACUUUGCAGGUGUCUGAAAUUUGAUGGCUUGUAUUUAAUUCGAAACUAUGGAGUAAACUAAACACCAGGAUACCCAUGCUGCCAUGUAAAGGAAAAACGCCAUGUAAAGGAAGUGGUGUACACCGGAGUAGGUUUGGCACCAAGUAAAUCUUACUAUUCAACGACUGAAGCGCGCACCGUGGUACCGUGGUAUACGCGUAAUGCAUGAGGUAUCCUGCAGACUUGUAAGGCGCUACUAUGCGUCGGGCCAGCACCGUGCGGUACGCGCAAUGCAUGAAGUAUCCUGCGGUCUUGUAAGGCGCUACUGUGCGUUCUGCGCCAGCCCCGCGCCGGUCGCACUGUUUGACGCGAUCAUUCAA